GUCUAUUUCUGGACUAUCUAUAGUACAGUGGUCUAUAUAUUAUUUUGUUAGUACAUUUAUUACUAUUAGGAUUGAAGUCAGGGGUACCUAACCACUGAGCCACAUCCCCAGCUAAGUUGCUGAGGCUGGCUUCAGACUUGUGAUCCUCCUGCCUCAGCCUCCUGAGUCAAUACUGUUUUAAUUACUUUAGUUACAGCUGUUUGGAAGUUGCACCUUGUAAGCUCUUCAGUUUUUUCUUUUUUCAAUAUCAUUUUGUUAAUGUCAGAUUUUUUUUUCACUUCCAUCUGAACUGAGAAUUGACUUUUCCAGUUCUUCAAAAAAGGCUUUAGGAAUUGUAUUGAAUUUGUACCUUGCUGUGUAUAUCAUUGACAACUGUGUAUUAUUAUUAUUUAAUAUUUUUAUUUCAGAUGUAUACAACACCUUUAUUUAAUUUUAUGUAUUUUUAUAUGGUGCUGAGGAUUGAACCCAGUGCGGCAAACCUGCUAGAUGAGCACUGUACCACUGGGCCACAACCCUAGACCUACAACUGGAUAUUAUUGACAACAGUUAUGUGUACCUAUCCAUGAACAUGGGAUAUAUUCCCAUUCUUUUAGUUCUUUGUUAAUUUUAUUCAGCUUUCAGGUUUUCAGGAUGUGUCAUUCAUUUAGAUGAUAUUUUGAUUGAAUUACUUCCUCUUCAUAUUUAUUGCUAGUGUGGAAAACAACUGUUUAUGUAUAUUGUUAUUGUAUCCUUGCAACUUUACUGAAUUUGUUUAUUAGCUAUGGUAGCUAUACUGUGGAUUCUUUGGAAUUUUCUACAUCUUAGACAGUGUAGUCUGUUAGUCUGUGAUUACAGAUUGCUUUAUCUCUUUUCCAAUACAGUUUUUUUUUUUUUUAACGU
rnacentral:lncRNA from 1 species